rnacentral:rRNA from 1 species
GCCUAACACAUGCAAGUCGAACGGCAGCACAGCACGGGGCAACCCGUGUGGGUGGCGAGUGGCGGACGGGUGAGUAAUGCAUGGGAAUCUACCCAGUAGCGGGGGACAACCCGGAGAAAUCCGGGCUAAUACCGCAUACGCCCUAAGGGGGAAAGCGGGGGACCGAAAGGCCUCGCACUAUUGGAUGAGCCCAUGUCGGAUUAGCUAGUUGGUAGGGUAACGGCCUACCAAGGCGACAAUCCGUAGCUGGUCUGAGAGGACGAUCAGCCACACCGGAACUGAGACACGGUCCGGACUCCUACGGGAGGCAGCAGUGGGGAAUAUUGAACAAUGGGGGCAACCCUGAUCCAGCAAUGCCGCGUGUGUAAAGAAGGCCUGCGGGUUGUAAAGCACUUUCAGUGGGGACAAAAAGCGCCGUGUUAAUACCGCGGCUUUUGAUUUAACCCAUAGAAGAAGCACCGGCUAACUCUGUGCCAGCAGCCGCGGUAAUACAGAGGGUGCGAGCGUUAAUCGGAAUUACUGGGCGUAAGCGCACGUAGGCG